AAGAAAUCGUUGAUAAGGAAAAGUAGAGAUUUGUUUUCCUUUUUAGAGAGAGCUGUCAUGGCUGAGAGCAGCUUAAGGAGAAGAAUUUCGAAAUGCACCUUUGAGACCCUUGCAGAAUAUUUAGUAUGCUAGGGCGUUUAGGAAACGUUACAUUCCUAGAGUGGAGCAAACAUAUUUGCUCAAGCAGGGUGGAACCACGUGAAAGCGUCUCUGUG
rnacentral:ncRNA from 1 species